GGGAUAACCCAUGGGAAUGGCCGGGAUAAACUAUGGGAAUGGCCGGGAUAACCCAUGGGAAUGGUUGGGAUAACCCAUGGGAAUGGCCGGGAUAACCCAUGGGAAUGGCCGGGAUAAACCAUGGGAAUGGCCGGGAUAAACCACGGGAAUGGUUGGGAUAACCCAUGGGAAUGGCCGGGAUAACCCAUGGGAAUGGUUGGGAUAACCCAUGGGAAUGGUUGGGAUAACCCACGGGAAUGGCCGGGAUAACCCAUUCCACUGGGAAAUUCCCAGUUUUCUCACCAUCCCAACUGGAAAUUCCCACUUUUCUCACCAUCCCACCAGGAAAUCCCCGCUCUCCUCACCAUCCUGCAGGGAAAUUCCCGCUUUUCUUGCCAUCCCACCAGGAAAUUCCCGCUUUUCUCACCAUCCCACCGGGAAAUUCCCGCUUUUCUCGCCAUCCCACCAGGAAAUUCCCACUUUUCUCGCCAUCCCACCAGGAAAUCCCCGCUUUUCUUGCCAUCCCACUGGGAAAUUCCCAGUUUCUCACCAUCCCACCUAGAAACUCCCCGUUUUCUCACCAUCCUAACUGGAAAUUCCCACUUUUCUCGCCAUCCCACCAGGAAAUCCCCGCUUUUCUCACCAUCCUAACUGGAAAUUCCCAGUUUCUCACCAUCCCAC
rnacentral:lncRNA from 13 species